rnacentral:rRNA from 1 species
CAGAGACCAGACCUCGUACCUUUUGCAUCAUGAUCUAGCCAGUAAACUCAAGCGAAGAGCCCUCUAGUUUGAACCCCCGAAACCGGACGAGCUACCCCGGGACAGCCUAUUGUAGGGCCAACCCGUCUCUGUGGCAAAAGAGUGGGAAGAUCCCCGGGUAGAGGUGAAAGACCUACCGAGUCAGGUUAUAGCUGGUUGCCCAGGAAACGAAUAGAAGUUCAGCCCCGUAUCAGCCCUUAUCCACAGCAGUUUUACUGAAGUUAGGCAGGAGGACAACCGCGGGAGUUAGUUGAAGGAGGUACAGCUCCCUCAACAAAGGACACAACCUUUACAGGAGGCUAAGAGAUAUACUAAAUUAAGGCCACAGGUUUCAGUGGGCCUAAAAGCAGCCACCUGAACAGAAAGCGUUAAAGCUCAGACCAGAUUAAGCCUAUUAUACCAUUAAAUAUCCUCAAUGCCCCUACUAAUACUGGGCCCCCCUAUGCUCACAUAGGAGAGACCAUGCUAGAACGAGUAAUAAGAAGAAUGAACUUCUCCCAGCACAUGUGUAAGUCGAAUCGGACCCCCCAUCGACAAUUAACGAACCCAAAAACAGAGGGCCAUGCAUCCGUGCCAUACUAGGCCAAGAAAAUCACGCAGACCCCAUCGUUGACCCCACACAGGAGUGCUCACACAAGGAAAGACUUAAAAAAUGAAAAGGAACUCGGCAAACCUGAACCCCGCCUGUUUACCAAAAACAUCGCCUCCUGCUCACAUCUGUUAUAGGAGGUCCCGCCUGCCCUGUGACCAAAAGUUUAACGGCCGCGGUAUUUUAACCGUGCAAAGGUAGCGCAAUCAAUUGUCUUUUAAAUGGAGACCUGUAUGAAUGGCAUAACGAGGGUUUAACUGUCUCUUUUUUUCGGUCAAUGAAACUGAUCUGCCCGUGCAGAAGCGGGCAUACCCACACAAGACGAGAAGACCCUAUGGAGCUUUAGACGCUCACCAACCACUAAAAGAGACCCGAUCUAACGGGCUUUCAAACAAUGUGGCCGUGGUACAAACGUCUUCGGUUGGGGCGACCGCGGAGGAGAGAAAAGCCUCCGAGAGGAUUGGGGGAGACCCUAAAACCAAGAGCCACAGCUCUAAGUCACAAAAUAUUUGACCGACAACGAUCCGGCUUCUUGCCGAUCAACGGACCAAGUUACCCUAGGGAUAACAGCGCAAUCCCCUCCCAGAGUCCAUAUCGACGAGGGGGUUUACGACCUCGAUGUUGGAUCAGGACAUCCUAA